rnacentral:lncRNA from 1 species
AUGAGACAGUGGAGUCACGUCGGGAGCCUGUAUUUUUUGCUGCUUCCCUACUUCAGUGCUCCCUGCCUUGCCAGGAGCUCCUCCCUGCCACCUGCUCUGCUCCUCCCACCAGGUGAGCUUGGCUGCUCCUGCCACCUGGACACCUGCCUUGGGAGCAGUGAAGGGGCCGGCCCAGGCUUCCCCAUCCCUUGCCCUUCCCAUGGGCCUCUGCUCUGGCUGUGCCGGUCCAGGCCCACAGCCACUGAGACUCCCAACCUUGAGGCGCAGCUGGGCACUGGCCCGUCCCUGGCCGCCCACAGUGGACUGGGCUUGCAGGGGAGCGGCAGGGAGGGCUGGGUCCCAGCAGGCAGCACGAGGUCAGCCUUGGUGUGCACAGGCCCCAGGCCACCUCCAGAAAGGGAGAGGUGGCCAGGAAGAGCAAGUCCUUGGCCUCAGGGCCCACUUGGCCACACUCGGAGGUGUGAGGAGUGGCUCCUGGCUGGCUGGACUUCCUUCGUCCUCCCAUGGAACGCCCCUGAGUCCUGGAGCCACAUCAGCCCUUCCUGUCAGGAGUUGGUCCCGGGGCUACCGUUGGACGGCUUCCUCACCAGGCUGGGGGCACGGGCGGGACUGCCGGGCAUGAGGGAGGUGGGACGCAGGGGACACGACACGAGGGUGAUGGGGCCCAGUGGAGCCCCUGGGAUGAAAGCUGCCCGCACCCCCCAGCCCCGCCAGCCCCCCGGCACAGCUGGCCACAAAGAUCAAGUCUUGCUAGCAGCACCUCCCUGCUCAGGCCCCGGGCCUGCUCUGCCGCCGCUGGGCUCCACACUGCCUUGGGAGUUGGGGGCUGGGAAAGGAAGACUGGAUGGAAAACAGAGCCCCCCACGGGCCCCGCAAGGGAGGCCCCUUCCCCUCCAACUCCCCCACUGCCUGAGACGGAGGGGCGUGUUCCCACUGCGCUGCCAGCCAGGACGCGGUGGGGCCGUCCAGUCCCGGGGCCGCUCCUCGGCGCCCCUGCCGGCGUGCUCCCUCGGUGCGGGCGUGUGGCCAGGACGCGGGACUUGGACUUGGUUGGAUGCCUCUUGGUUUGGUUGUUUCUUGUUGUUGUUGUUGCUUGGAUCUUAA